rnacentral:lncRNA from 1 species
AAGGGUAGCCAUGAUCUUGUAUCCUGCUGCUUCCUUUUCAGACCAUACUCCAAGAAGCAGGUGAGAUGUUGUAAUUUCCCCAUCAUCACCUAAACAAAAUAAACGAUUAAAUUAUAUAUCUGAAUUAUGAUUUAUUUAGAAAAAUGUAAUGAAGAAGGUUGGGUUGCCUGAUUUGAGUUUUUGAUCAACAGCCCAAUCAAGGGCCUUUUGGGCUGCUUCAGUCAAAGGAGGAUGCUCGGGGCUGAAAAAGAAAUAGUCGGGUUUUCCAAUCAAUUUGAUGGCCUCCUCUCGCACUUUGACAAGUGUAAAUCCAUUUGCACGCAACAGUUUUGAAGCCCUA